AUUGAACGCUGGCGGCAGGCCUAACACAUGCAAGUCGAACGAGUGGCGGACGGGUGAGUAAUGUCUGGGAAACUGCCUGAUGGAGGGGGAUAACUACUGGAAACGGUAGCUAAUACCGCAUACCAUCGGAUGUGCCCAGAUGGGAUUAGCUAGUAGGGGGGGUAAAGGCUAACCUAGGCGACGAUCCCUAGCUGGUCUGAGAGGAUGACCAGCCACCUUGGAACUGGGACACGGUCCAGACGCCUACGGGAGGCAGCAGUGGGGAAUAUUGCACAAUGGGCGCAAGCCUGAGGCAGCCAUGCCGCGUGUAUGAAGAAGGCCUUCGGGUUGUAAAGUACUUUCAGCGGGGAGGCGUUACCCGCAGAAGAAGCACCGGCUAACUCCGGGCCAGCAGCCGCGGUAAUAC
rnacentral:rRNA from 1 species